rnacentral:rRNA from 1 species
UAACUUGAGAGUUUGAUCCUGGCUCAGGACGAACGCUGGCGGCAUGCUUAACACAUGCAAGUCGAACGAGAAAGCUUCUUCGGAAGUGAUUAAAGUGGCGCACGGGUGAGUAACGCGUAGACAAUCUGCCCUUCAGUCUGGGACAACUUUCCGAAAGGGGAGCUAAUACCGGAUAACAAUAUUUGACAUAAGUCAUAUAUUUGAAAGCUCCGGCGCUGAUGGAUGAGUCUGCGUCCCAUUAGCUUGUUGGUGCGGUAGUGGCGCACCAAGGCUACGAUGGGUAGCGGGUUUGAGAGGACGAUCCGCCACACUGGAACUGAGACACGGUCCAGACUCCUACGGGAGGCAGCAGUGGGGAAUAUUGCACAAUGGAGGAAACUCUGAUGCAGCAAUGCCGCGUGAGUGAAGAAGGCCC